rnacentral:rRNA from 1 species
UACGUAGGGUGCGAGCGUUAAUCGGAAUACUGGGCGUAAAGCGUGCGCAGGCGGUUAUUUAAGUCAGGUGUGAAAGCCCUGGGCUUAACCUAGGAAUUGCGCUUGAGACUGGAUAGCUUGGAGUGCGGCAGAGGGAGGUGGAAUUCCACGUGUAGCAGUGAAAUGCGUAGAGAUGUGGAGGAACACCGAUGGCGAAGGCAGCCUCCUGGGUCAAGAUUGACGCUCAUGCACGAAAGCGUGGGGAGCAAACAGG